AGUGAACGCUGGCGGUAGGCCUAACACAUGCAAGUCGAACGGCAGCACAGUAAGAGCUUGCUCUUACGGGUGGCGAGUGGCGGACGGGUGAGGAAUACAUCGGAAUCUACUUUUUCGUGGGGGAUAACGUAGGGAAACUUACGCUAAUACCGCAUACGACCUACGGGUGAAAGCAGGGGAUCUUCGGACCUUGCGCGAUUGAAUGAGCCGAUGUCGGAUUAGCUAGUUGGCGGGGUAAAGGCCCACCAAGGCGACGAUCCGUAGCUGGUCUGAGAGGAUGAUAAGCCACCCUGGAACUGAGACACGGUCCAGACUCCUACGGGAGGCAGCAGUGGGGAAUAUUGGACAAUGGUCGCAAGCCUUAUCCAGCCAUACCGCGUGUGUGAAGAAGGCCUUCGGGUUGUAAAGCCCUUUUGUUGGGAAAGAAAAGCAGCAGGUUAAUACCCCGCUGUUCUGACGGUACCCAAAGAAUAAGCACCGGCUAACUUCGUG
rnacentral:rRNA from 1 species